ACGUCAGCUGUUCAAAUGGCAAGUGAGCUUUGUUCUCAGCCAGAAAAAUGGUGAAAUAAAUUAAUGCUUCGACCAAGAAACCCUGUGGUUUUUAUCAUAACACACGCAUGUUUCUGUCUACGCAUUCCAGACAUCACGUUGUAGUUAAUUUCUGAAUCCAAUAACAAAAUAUACUCAGAUAAUUGGUACCCGACAUGUGAUGGGUUUGAACAUGUUCAGAUGAUCUGGUAAAGUAUUCCUCACAUCAAGGUCCAACAGUGGAGCUGCUCCUACUGGAGUGGCUUUUGCAUAGCCCUCCUUAUUGAGAAAUGGAUUUUUCAGCCCCGCAAUGGGGAGAAAAUAGCAAAAAAGACACUCACGUGUGAGUCACUCAACAGUAAUCCUUAUUAGCAGUGAUAUGCCACAAUUUCAACAAUGGACUGUCUCGAAGAGAAAGCCUUCAACAUGUAGCAAUAAUCCAAAGCCGUGGUAAAAAAUGACGAAACUCAGAACUCAAACAAACAAGUCAUUAGUCUGCAACACUAAUGUCCUCUCAACGAUUAGCCAGAGAUGAUUUUUAAAAUGAGAAUAUCUGAAAUGAACUCGACUGCUCUCACAAACGAGAAUACUAAAAAUGAACCCGGCAGCUCUCAAAAAUUAAGUAAGAAAAAAACAGGAAAAAUAAUCCAGAAUACUUGUCCAGUACCAGAUCAAUCCCAAAAUCUAAUCAGUUCAUGCCAGUCAUGAGGUCAAACAUCCUUGAAAGUUUCAUCCGAAUCCAUCCAGUGGUUCUAGAGAUACCUUGUCCAUGGACAAACAAACAAACAUGACAGAAAACAAUACCACUGCCUUAGCUAAGGCGGAGGUAAUAACUGCAAAAUCGAAGACCUUAAUGUUCUAAUCAUUCUUUGUCUUUAUUUAACUUGGUCUUCUAUCAUAAUUCCAUUCACAUCUAUGAUGGUUUAUAGCAGGGGUUCUCAACUAUUAUUUAUCUAUGGACCCCUUCAGUUAUUAUUUUAUUCUGGUGGACCCCCAAACUCAUGUGAUAUUAAAAAAACUAGUUUUAUAGAAACCUCUUUUCAGAAUUCCUAUUUUGUUUUCCACAUGUUAACUUGUGUAGAUUGUACUAUGUAAAAUGUUAAAGAAAGAAACCUAGCUGUUUCUUGCAAUACAUACCAAUAUGUACACCUAAAGUGAAAUUUUUUCAAGUGCCCUUAAAAUACUAUUUGUUUUGUGGACCCUGAUUGAGAACCACUGGUUUAUAGCAAUAUGAAAUCAUACACAGUAUUUAAGUUGCUGUAUUUUACAGUGUUGGGAAGGAGGGAAAACCAAGUUAGCCUUGCUAGGAUUUGAAAUUAGAGAUGAAACUUAGUGAUUUGUGGGCUUUGACACAAAGCUACAACAGGAAGGGAGGGUAUUGAUUCUACCUGGGAUUCUAAACCAUUUUUUAUCUAUGGACCCCUUUGAUUACUAUUUUAUUCUGGUGGACACCUCUAACCAUUCAAUGUUUCAAAACUAGUUUUAUAGCAACUUAUUUCAAAAUUCCUAUUUUGUUGUUUUACAUAAUUUGUGUAGAUUGGACUAUGUAAAAUGUUAGAGAAAGAAACUUAGCUGUUUCUGGCAAUACAUACAUUUAAAGCAACAUUUUUCAGGGGCCCUUAAAAUACUGUUUUGGAUCCCCAGAUUACUCUUUUGUUAUGCAGAUCCCCAAAAAUCUUAUAUGGACCCCAGUUGAGAACAACUGGACUAGAUGGUCAUGACUGGAAUCUGCUUGAUCUGAACUAAUAUAAACAACAUCUGGUACUUACUUAUAUCAGUAUGUGGUUGCUCAACCAGCUAGAAAUAGUAGCCAAAUUUUCUGUCAUAUCAAAAGCUGCCAGUUUACCAAAUGAAAAUUAUUGGAAAAACAAAUAAAGAUAGCUACUUAGAUUAUUUUAAAAGAUGGAUAGAAAUUAAAUCUUUAUUUAUAUAUCUAAAGCGGCAUCUAACAAAUCAGCUAAAUUGUUGAAUCCUUCAGUAUUUUCAGCACUGCUCUACUUUGUUUCUUUGUUAAAUAUGUAUCCAUUAUGUUAAUUUUAUAUGGUGUUUCUUGAAGUAAACAAUAAUCUUCA